GUGGGGAAUUUUGGACAAUGGGCGAAAGCCUGAUCCAGCCAUGCCGCGUGCAGGAUGAAGGCCUUCGGGUUGUAAACUGCUUUUGUACGGAACGAAAAGACUCUGGUUAAUACCUGGGGUCCAUGACGGUACCGUAAGAAUAAGCACCGGCUAACUACGUGCCAGCAGCCGCGGUAAUACGUAGGGUGCAAGCGUUAAUCGGAAUUACUGGGCGUAAAGCGUGCGCAGGCGGUUAUAUAAGACAGAUGUGAAAUCCCCGGGCUCAACCUGGGAACUGCAUUUGUGACUGUAUAGCUAGAGUACGGUAGAGGGGGAUGGAAUUCCGCGUGUAGCAGUGAAAUGCGUAGAUAUGCGGAGGAACACCGAUGGCGAAGGCAAUCCCCUGGACCUGUACUGACGCUCAUGCACGAAAGCGUGGGGAGCAAACAGGAUUAGAUACCCGAGUAGUCC
rnacentral:rRNA from 1 species